rnacentral:rRNA from 1 species
CAGGUGGUGCAUGGUUGUCGUCAGCUCGUGUCGUGAGAUGUUGGGUUAAGUCCCGCAACGAGCGCAACCCUCGACCUUAGUUGCCAGCAUUCAGUUGGGCACUCUAAGGUGACUGCCGGCUAAAAGUCGGAGGAAGGUGGGGAUGACGUCAAAUCAUCAUGCCCCUUAUGACCUGGGCUACACACGUGCUACAAUGGGCGGUACAAAGGGUCGCGAACCCGCGAGGGGGAGCCAAUCCCAAAAAGCCGCUCUCAGUUCGGAUUGCAGGCUGCAACUCGCCUGCAUGAAGCCGGAAUCGCUAGUAAUCGCGGAUCAGCACGCCGCGGUGAAUACGUUCCCGGGCCUU